GCCUACGGCCAUACCACGUUGAACACACCGGUUCUCGUCCGAUCACCGAAGUUAAACAACGUCGGGCCCGGUUAGUACUUGGAUGGGUGACCGCCUGGGAACACCGGGUACUGUAGGCA
rnacentral:rRNA from 1 species